ACAUGCCUACAACAUAGAGUUAAUGCACCAAAUCCCAUUAUAACUUUGCAGUUAAGCGCGCUCAGGCUAGAGUAGUAUUGGGAUGGGUGACUUCCCGGGAAGUCCUAGUGUUAUUACAUGCC
rfam:Picea glauca, whole genome shotgun sequence.